AGACUGGUCCAAAAUGAGAUUCAAAAGUUCAAGCAGAAGUCAGAAGACUAUGGCGUGAUCAGGUCUCCUAAACCUAUAAGAAAAUCAAAGUCACAAAGAGAACUCAGGAGACAAAGGCUUGAUCAACUCUCCUAGACCGGUAAGAAAAUCGGCAAGGCUGAGCGGGAAGUUCACACCGGUUCAGGGAGGGAAGUCGAGAAGAUAAUCAUCAGGGAACAGAGCGAUUCCAACGUUUUUUGUAAUCAAGAAGAAGAGGAAAGUUCCAAGCUUGGUUAAAAUUUUUAGCAGGAAAAGGCGCUUCUCCGCAUGAAUCACUUUAAAAGAAAAAAAAAGAGGAUUUUCGUCGCUAUGUGGGGUUUAACAAAGAGGACGAGAGGUGGUGAUACAGUCAUUAUAAAAGUUUAUCUGCACUAUUUAUAUGUGAUCAAGGGGAUGGGGAAAAACAUAGGCAGCGAGCAAGCAUGUUAUUUUUUUACCAGAUGGGUAUGACUUCUGAGAAUAUAUACACACUAACUAAGAUUGUGCACUGAAGAAUCGAGAGGACAAGCAGAUGGUGGUGAGUGAGAAAUCAUCACUCAUCAGAAUAAACCAAAAUAAAAGGAAUCAAGCAUCAAUAAGGUAAUGUAUGGUGAUCAACAGUAGAGAUGGAUAAUGAAAAGAGUCGAUCCCAAUCGCCAAGAGAUGAUAAGGAGUGUUGGUAACACAUUUCGAAGAGAUUGACAAUACAAAAGAAAGUUCGCAGAGAUGUAAGAAGAUAGUAAGUGAGUUUACGCUGAAAGAUAUGUAAUUCAAAGAUAUUUUCUGAAAGCUCAGAGAGAUUUAACAAUUUAUUAUGCAUAUCACAAUCAUGAUCUAACAAGUGUAACAAUUAUAAUUCAA